rnacentral:rRNA from 1 species
GAGUUUGAUCAUGGCUCAGGAUUAACGCUGGCUGUGUGCCUAAUACAUGCAUGUCGAACGAAGUACUUGUACUUAGUGGCAAAUGGGUGAGUAACACGUACCUAACCUACCUUUUAGAUUGGGAUAACUAUUGGAAACUUUAGCUAAUACCAAAUAUUUAUAAAUAACAAAAGUUUUUUAUAUAAAAGAAGGGUUUCCUUCACUAAAAGAUGGGGGUGCGCUACAUUAGAUUGUUGGUGAGGUAAUGGCUCACCGAGUCAAUGAUGUAUAGUGGGACCGAGAGGUUGAACCACCACACUGGGACUGAGAUACGGCCCAGACUCCUACGGGAGGCAGCAGUAGGGAAUCUUCCGCAAUGAGCGAAAGCUUGACGGAGCAACACAGCGUGUACGAUGAAGGCCUUCGGGUUGUAAAGUACUGUUGUAAGAGAAGAAUAACUAAAAAAGGAAAUGUUUUUAGUGUGACGGUAUCUUAAUAGAAAGCAGUUGCAAACUAUGUGCCAGCAGCGGCGGUAAUACAUAGACUGCAAGCGUUAUCCGGAAUUAUUGGGCGUAAAGCGUCCGUAGGUUAUUUAUUAAGUCUGGUGUUAAAAAUUGAAGCUCAACUUCAGUUUGCAUCAGAUACUAGUAGAAUAGAGUUACAAAGAGGUUAAUGGAACUCCAUGUGGAGCGGUGAAAUGCGUUGAUACAUGGAAGAACACCAAUGGCGAAGGCAAUUAACUGGAUGUAAACUGACACUGAGGGACGAAAGCGUGGGGAGCAAACAGGAUUAGAUACCCUGGUAGUCCACGCCCUAAACGAUGUUCGUUAGUCGGUGGUGAAAUCACUGAUACAGCUAACGCAUUAAACGAACCGCCUGAGUAGUAUGCUUGCAAGAGUGAAACUUAAAGGAAUUGACGGG